rnacentral:lncRNA from 1 species
GCGUAGAGGAGGAGAUCGGGAGGGAUUGUUGAUGAUUUGGAGGAGGAAGAAUCGGAGGGUGAGGAAGGUUGAGGUUGGUGACGCGUGAGGUGAGUGAUGGCGGCGCGUAUAGUGUUGAGCUGGCGGAGGAGGUGGUCUGGGAUUGAGUGGGAGGCGGAUGGCGGUGGAGUUUGGGAUUGGAGGUUUGAUGAGAGGUGGUAGAGGGAGAGGAGGUUUGUGGCUACCAUUGCUAGUAGGAGGAGUAGGUUUAAGCUCAUAGUGAAGGUGAACCCCAUUUU